rnacentral:misc_RNA from 1 species
GGGGCUCUCGCUUCCUCUUCUCAUCAGUCAUCAGUUCUGUUUCUUUUUCCCGCCAUUUCAAGCCUCGCCUAAGCCUUUGCUCUCUCCUUCACACACACUUCUUUUUUCGCUUUGUCACGAUCUUAAAUCUCCAAACACCGAAGAAGAUGUUGUGGGUCGACAAGUAUCGUCCAAAAACCCUAGACCAGAUCACAGUUCACCAAGACGUAGCACAGAAUCUUAAGAAAUUGGUUACAGAACAGGACUGCCCUCAUUUGCUCUUCUAUGGCCCCUCCGGUUCCGGAAAGAAAACCCUAGUCAUGGCCCUUAUCCGGCAGAUGUUCGGAGCCAGUGCGGAUAAGGUGAAGGUGGAGAACAAAACGUGGAAAGUUGAUGCUGGAGCUAGAACUAUUGAUA